rnacentral:rRNA from 1 species
GGUUGCCAUCAUACCAGCACUAAUGCACCGUAUCCCAUCAGAACUCCGAAGUUAAGCGUGCUUGGGCGAGUGUAGUACUAGGAUGAGUGACCCACUGGGAAGUCCUCGUGAUGCAACCC